CAGUAGCCGCGGUAAAACGGAGGGUGCAAGCGUUAAUCGGAAUUACUGGGCGUAAAGCGUGCGUAGGCGGUUCGUUAAGUCUGUUGUGAAAGCCCCGGGCUCAACCUGGGAAUGGCAAUGGAUACUGGCGAGCUAGAGUGUGUCAGAGGAUGGUGGAAUUCCCGGUGUAGCGGUGAAAUGCGUAGAGAUCGGGAGGAACAUCAGUGGCGAAGGCGGCCAUCUGGGACAACACUGACGCUGAAGCACGAAAGCGUGGGGAGCAAACAGGAUUAGAUACCCCCGUAGUCCCUGUCUCUUAUAC
rnacentral:rRNA from 1 species